AUGGUUGUACAAGGCUCUCAGGGUACGCAGCAUAUCACUCUUGUUACCAAUGGCAUCUCUACCAGUUCUGCUAAUGUAGGAGAAGAAAAAUAUGUGAUCUCUACCGUGAGUGGGAAUUGCAGUUCUGGCAUCAUCAGUAGAAAGCCCUCUGUAUCACCUCCCAUGUUGAAUCAGCCACCAGUCAUAGUGCAAGCUGCCUAUUCAAGUUAUAAUGCGGUAUCUCCUAGCAGUAGUGAAUCGAUAGACCACUGUGGGAAACGUCCCAGAGAAGAAGAAACAGAACUGGUUUACGAGCAAGUCAUCAUUGAUAAGAGUAUGGUAGGAGAUCAGCCGAAUUCCCCACCACAAAUACAGAUUCAAGAAACAUACGGUGGACUAAGUGAAGACGAUCCUCUCACUUUAGUGACAUGUAAAAAGGAAAUAGAAAAUGGACACACAUCUAACAGCUCCCAGGGUUCAAUACCUGUCAACAUCUUGGAGAACGGUUAUUCAGUCUGUAAAAAACCAAAAUUAGAAUUAAUAGAAGAGGAGAAUGCAAACUCUUAAUGAG
rnacentral:lncRNA from 1 species